ACCCGACUCCGUGAAGCUGGAUUCGCUAGUAAUCGCGCAUCAGCCAUGGCGCGGUGAAUACGUUCCCGGGCCUUGUACACACCGCCCGUCAAGCCAUGGAAGCCGGGGGCGCUUGAAGUGCGUUGCCGCAAGGCGCGCCCUAGAGCGAAACCGGUGACUGGGGCUAAGUCGUAACAAGGUAGC
rnacentral:rRNA from 1 species